rnacentral:misc_RNA from 1 species
UUUCCGUAGGUGAACCUGCGGAAGGAUCAUUCACAAUAAGUGUUUUAUGGCACUUUUUAAACAAUCCAUAUCCACCUUGAGUGAAACGUAAUGAGACACUCUAUCGUUAACUUUUAGGUUACGGAAGGGGAAACGUCUACCACUUACCAACAUCACAAUUAUCUUACUUGUUUGAACAUUUGUUAUCGCGAUUUAACUUAAUGCGAAAUUACAACUUUCAACAACGGAUCUCUUGGCUCUC